GAAAGCAUGUAACAUUUCUUCCCAGUCCAUUUGUCCAACGUAAAACUCUAAUCCAUGCAUAUGUUCAAAUUAAAUUACGUAACUCAGAACCAAAGAUUGAAGUUGAAUAAAAGAACAAAAAUGUACCUUUUUGCCAUCGUCGAUGAGGAUUGGGUUUUGGCAGAGUCUGAAAUAGAGUUGUUUCUUGGAAGAGGAAGAAGCCGAUAGAGAUUGAUGAUCAAGGGAGCGGGAGAUAAUUGACUGAAAAUCCGUUGGCAGGAAUCUCUCCCAAACGGUGUCGGAUUCAGCGGCAUUAUUGAACAAAGAAGAGACGACGGACAAAGUACAGGCAUCGUAAGGACUUGUAAACGACAGGACGUUUGAUAUGCAACCUUCAGGCAACGCCGAGAUGCCUGUUCCUUGGCUAGCGUCCAUUGUAAAUUGAAAUGAUUGUUUUGAUGUUUUGGGGUUG
rnacentral:misc_RNA from 1 species